rnacentral:lncRNA from 1 species
GACGCUGUGGUCCGGCUGAGCGGUUCCUCAUUAGGCUCGUUCACUGCAAAGCAGCUGUCACAGGAGUACUACUACGCCCAGCAGCACAACUCUUUUGUAGAUUUCCUCCAGGCCCACCUGCGCAUGACCCAUCAUGAAUGCCGGGCUGUCUUCACAGAGAUCACCACUUUCUCCAGACUGCUGACUGGAAAUGACUGUGAUGUCCUAGCAUCUGAGCUGAGAGGACUGGCCUCGAAACCUGUGGUGCUGUCACUACAGCAAUAUGACACUGAAUAUUCGUUCCUUAAGGAUGUC